CGGCUGUAGCUAUAUUAAUCGGAGAAGUUAUCUGGCCGGUUGUUGUUCUUUGUCGACAUAUCUGCUUACCGAAUUUCUCACAUUU